UUGUUUGCGGGUGUAGCAUCAUCAAGAUUCACAUGCAAAUGCAACCGCCCAAGUUGUUUGGAAACUGAGAAUCUUGAUGAUGCUGCAUCGGCAAUAAA
rnacentral:pre_miRNA from 1 species